rnacentral:lncRNA from 1 species
AACGGGACACCCCAACCGACGCCGGGGAGGGCGAACAGCUCCCCCUCGCCUUCCCGGGCAGGAAAAGCGGGCGGAAACGCGCUCCCCGCCGAAGCCCGGGGGAGGGCGGCGGGCGGCGGGCGGCGCGCGGCGUGAAUAUUCAUCAGGGGUGGGGCCCGAACAAUGGCCGGGCCGCGGGCGCGGCCGCGCGGCGCUCGCCGAGACGGCCCGGGGAGAGGGGACGCGCAGGGGCUGUCCCCGGCCAGGUGCCGAGGGACGGACACGCCCCGCCUCGCGCUGACAAUAAAGGAAGGAAAAUUGACCUGGCCCCCAGCGCACGGAGGCCGGCCGCCCGGCCCGCGGGGAGAGGCUGUGUCCCUCCCCGGCGGCCCGCCGCGCCCCGCUCCGAGGGGACGCUUCCGAAGAGGCUGUAUCCUCGCAGAGGAGGGUCCGCCCUUUCUUCUCGCCCCGCUUCGUCUCAUUCCCAUCCCCCACCACCAGAUUCUGCACCCUUAAGACCCUCAUUUCCGGUUUCUCUCCUGGCUCUUCUUUUCCUUUCUCUUCUUUUCCGAGCUAAAUUUGUGGCACGGUUGUCGUUGCGGGAUUUGCUGAGCAUCACUUGGCUGCCCGGUCCACUUGCAGUGGAAACAGAAUCCAAAACAGCUUCUCUGAUUGCCUUGUGCUGAGUUCCUUACCUCGCUCAGUAGGGAUGAGGAAACCAAAGGACUGGAAGAUGCGGACUGUGACUAAGUUCCUUAAAGCACAGCCUGGAGGUGGAGCAGGGACUCUCACCAGGAAACCAACAUCUAAAGAAGUUAAGUGACUUCACAGCUUAAGGUGUGCACAGCUUAACUCAACGCAGGAAUGCCAAGGCCCCUCAAGUCAGCGUCCCUCCACAGUUCUGGAGGCUAGAAGUCCGAGAUCAAGAUUCCAGCUGAUUUGGUUUCUGGAUUGCUUACAUUGAAUUCAGCUAUGAAAAGUCCUUUAUCUGCAAAAUCCUCAAGAGGCCUCAGAAAUGAGAUCAGAGAUAGCCCUAGCUUUGGAAAUCAAGAUGAGAGCCAUACGAAGUGGUUGGGAGAAGCUGUUUGGGGACCUUGAAUUGUUGUUGUGUGUGUCUGGUUUUUAUAGGUUGUUGGACAAGGGAAUCAGGAUCUCUGCCAAGGGAAGGCCACUCUGGGCCUGUUAGAUAAAGAGAUAACAGACUUCUUUAUUUACACUUUAUCACAUACUUGUGUCCUAAGCCUGUGUAGCUAAAUCUCAGGAAGUGACCAGACCAGUGGGCCCCUCUUAUGCUCAGCCGUUUAAUGUGUCGCAAGUGAAAUAGAAUUAUGAGUUUGAAUACAAUGCAUCAGAUACUGGCCAAUAUGCAUGAGGACCCCUAUUGAAGAGGAG